rnacentral:rRNA from 1 species
GACGAACGCUGGCGGCGUGCUUAACACAUGCAAGUCGAACGAAGAGCGAUGGAAGCUUGCUUCUAUCAAUCUUAGUGGCGAACGGGCGAGUAACGCGUAAUCAACCUGCCCUUCAGAGGGGGACAACAGUUGGAAACGACUGCUAAUACCGCAUACGAUCUAAACUCGGCAUCGAGGAUAGAUGAAAGGUGGCCUCUACAUGUAAGCUAUCACUGAAGGAGGGGAUUGCGUCUGAUUAGCUAGUUGGAGGGGUAACGGCCCACCAAGGCGAUGAUCAGUAGCCGGUCUGAGAGGAUGAACGGCCACAGUGGGACUGAGACACGGCCCAGACUCCUACGGGAGGCAGCAGUGGGGAAUCUUCCGCAAUGGACGAAAGUCUGACGGAGCAACGCCGCGUGAGUGAUGACGGCCUUCGGGUUGUAAAGCUCUGUUAAUCGGGACGAAAGGCCUUCUUGCGAAUAGUGAGAAGGAUUGACGGUACCGGAAUAGAAAGCCACGGCUAACUACGUG